rnacentral:ncRNA from 2 species
GUCUUGCGCUUCGGAAGCGGUUUCGGUAGACUAGCGCCAGUUACAAAGCGAACGGGGAAUCACGGAAGCCGGUGCGAAUCCGGCGCGGCCCCGCCACUGUAACGGGCACGAUCGUAACGGCUCACGGCCACUGGGGGUGUUCACCCGGGAAGGCGAGCCGAUCGCCCGAAGCCA